rnacentral:lncRNA from 1 species
AGUAGCUCCUAAUUAAUGACCACCAAUCAAAACUGCCAAAUUUAUCUUAAACAUCAACUGGUUAAUCAGUUUCAACUUGAUCAAUUUAUAGACUUGGGUUUGACCACUAAGCUAGAGAUCAAAGUCCAUUUGGAUCUAAUCAAAGAUAUGGACUCGACCAACGACAACUAUUGUAUUGGCUCUAAAGAAAUCCUGAUUUAAUCU